rnacentral:rRNA from 1 species
ACACCUGCCCUUUACUCGGGGAUAGUCUUUCGAAAGAAAGAUUAAUACCCGAUAGCAUAAUGAUUCCGCAUGGUUUCAUUAUUAAAGGAUUCCGGUAAAGGAUGGGGAUGCGUUCCAUUAGGUUGUUGGUGAGGUAACGGCCCACCAAGCCUUCGAUGGAUAGGGGUUCUGAGAGGAAGGUCCCCCACAUUGGAACUGAGACACGGUCCAA